CGAAGACAUGAGGAAUGGAUUCCAGUUGUUUGCGCCGACAAAUGGAGUUCAGCCCUUCUUCUUAGGACUCUACUGGCGGAUCGUAGGCCUAUGUGCGACUGAAUAUUACCACAGCUCCAUUUCAUAAAGAACAUAUAUGGCAGAUGUUCGGGAGCAUCAAGGAAAAGAGUACGGAUUCAGACUGGACUGUUUCGAAACUUUGGCUUUGUUGUCAGUUGUUUCAGAGGCGCUGUGGGCUGGAGAGGCCUACUGAGGCCCAGUACUUGGGGCAGCUGACCUUUGGCCGCUAUACUAGCAGGACCUUCAGGUGGCUGGUGGAGAAAGACAUGGGCUUCGUCAAACAGGUAGCGUCCAGCACAAGCACCACCAGACAAACACUCAUGCUGGGACACAUCUGUCAAGCAAUGGCUGCUGACGAAGGAGAGUGACAUCCACUUCAUGUCGGUCAUGCGCUUUCAUCUGUACAUUCUUGGCAAAGAGCCUCCACAGGACGCCACUUCCAGCUCUCCAUCCCCCUGCAGCAACGCUCUGGACGACACCGCCUUGGUGGAUGCCCUCGUCGCUUUUGAGAGCCAUGGGGAGCUCUUGCCGAUCUCACCAGCCAGCCUGUGUCCGUCAAAGGGUCCAAACAGCCGCCGCUUUCCACCAAUGUGCCAGCAAUUGCAGAGUGUCCUACAGUCUACCAGCAAGAAGGCAAAGCGCAGGAAGCAACAGAAGCAGUGUCCCCCCAGCAGCUUUCUUUUAGGUGUGUGGAGAGCGGUGUUUUAUUUCAUGCGGGGGUCCACGUGGGACCGACUCAGGAGGGACAGAAUGAAGGGCCCAGAAGCCCCUGCCGCCCUCCCUGCCCUCCGCCAGCAAGGCUGCUUCUAGUGAGUGUCACGAGCAGCAACAGCAGCAGAUGCCCCUGCCGUCUUCAGCGCCUGCUCAGUCUCCCCCCAAUGCUCGCCCUGAGGAGCCGCCAUUAAGCUCCAACAGCCAGCCUGCGUCUGCCACCACCUCGCCACAGAGUGACUCUCCUGUGGAGCUGGAAGGCUGGGUGCAGCUAUGGAAACAGUCCUAUGGCAUCCCAUCUGUAGCCAUGCUCUGGCUGAAGGAGCACCAUGAGACUGCUGCCUUUUCUACUGACGGCCCAACGGAGUGUGAUGCCCGCCUAAAGGACAUCUAGGGCAUCAUUAGAAAGUGGUGCGUCCCGAAGUCUGACCGGAUGUGGUUUUACCCCCUCGAGCCACCCGGCUUCAUUAGCGACAGCAUCCCCACGCCGCAGGCCUUUUUCCACAGCCUUUUUUUCUUUUGGUGCCCCAUCGGAGUGUGGCGGUGUCCGUGUGGCGACAAGUGCGCUGGGGCCAGAGGCAACACACACCUCCAAGUCUGGUUACCACACCUGGGUAUGUCACAUCUGCAAUGUGUCGGCGCACCAUGGCAACCAUGUGUCGGCACACCAUGGCAACAGACGUGGUGUCCAGUGGACCGUGCCGCAAGGCUGCCAGGUGUGGAGGGAGUGGUCCCAUGGGUUGGUGGCCUGCUGCCACCUUGGUCCCCUCUGUGCGAAGAACCACCUGGAGGACUGCUACCAGAGGACCUCUACACAAUCCUCCUCAUGGCCUUGGUGGAACACGGAGGCAUCGUCUCUGCGUUGGGCCACAAGGACUUCCUCUCUUGCCAGAGAGCAACCCAGAGCAUGGUUCCUCCAGCACUUCUUCUACCUGGCUGAGGCAGACGAUGUCCAGGACUACCAGAGCCAGAUACUCUCCACGUGGUGAAGAAAUUGUCUGGGGAAAGCAAGGGCUCAGCCGAGUGAUUCACCAUUAUCGGCAACAAGUUCUCCCAGACAGCGUCUUUUGUUCUCACCUGCGAGGAGUCUGUUGAGAAGCUGGGGCCCAUGCGUCAUGGCAUGGUGGGACAGUUCCAGCUGGCCAAUCAACCUCCUGCAUGACCGCACAGAGGGGACCAAGGUGGCAGCAGUUGCAGGAGAACCACCUGGAGGACUGCUACCAGAGGACCUCUACACCACGCUCCUCAAGGCCUUAGUGGAUCCUGGAGGCAUCGCCUCUGUGUUGGGCCACGGGGACUUUAUGUCUUCCCAAAGAGCAACGCUGCUCGCGGCUCCUGUGGCACGCCACUGGAUCCGUCGCUUCAGUGCUGCUCUACGGGCUGAGGCUUGAAGUACGCUGCCUUCAAGUCUGCACUGGUUGGGGCAAAGCUGGCCUAUAACCGCAAGCUGGCCUUUAACCGCGAGAACCUCCAGCUACUCAUCAUGGCCGUAGACCCGGCCACAAUGGAGGUGGUGACGGACGAGGAUGUACACGCUCAAACAUCAUGUCCGGCAUCUCACCUCAGUGACCAGGUGACAUUUCUUCUUGUCCAUCGGCUCAUUGAAGAGCUCAAGGGUUCAGCAAGGCUCACCUAUAGCGAUGUCAGUCUCUUCAAGUCCCCUGUAUUUACUGCUGCCAUUGAUGAGAUGUGGGCCAGCCAGCAGCAACACCUGCAAUGGAUCCGGGACUCACCAGACACGGUGAUGUGCCGUUAUGCCCGCACCACGACCAUCAUCGGUGUGGACCUGCUUUAUUAUAAGGGCCUGCGGUGGAGGGUGGAGCGGUUCCACAAGUCAUAUGAUUCUAGGUCAUCUAACGUGGAAAAAGAAUUGUUUAACAGCACAACAGACAACAAACACUUGUCCCCUUUAUCUCAUUCAGAUAACACCUAUUGUGAUGUUCAGGUCCCCACUGUGCGGCACGGCCUUGUCAGGUGUAUCUGAUCAGUGGAAUCAAUGGAACUACGGCUACAGCUCGUAAACAGCUGUUUGGGGGGAAGAGGCCGGCAUCACCGACUACUCUGCGCCACUCAUUGACCGGAGCAAGCGGAAGAGAACUUCAGGGCCCUGGCUGAUCUCCGGUCAGACGAGCUGCUUGGGCUGGAGUACCUUUUCAGCCAGAGCACGGGGGAGUCCUUCUGUCUGGAGGGCAUCGUCCACGCCGGUCCUGGGCCAGAGCUGGAGGUCAUUCAGGCCGACCUAGGACGCUGACGCUGACGCAGACGAGGAGUUCCAGCCCUGAAUCACACUGACCAGCAACGGGACUGCUACGGUCAAGCCUCCUGCUUUUGAGGAUGUCUGCAGUGAUAUUACAUGUACUAAUAAUAAUACAUUAUUAUUAUUUUCAUGUUAUUUAUUUAUUUUGUUUUCUCAUGUAGUUAUUUAGCAUACCGUUAUUAUUUAUUUUAUUUUAUUAAUCAUUUGUAAAGUACUAAACCUUGUUGUGUUAAAUGUCCUAUAAAUAAAUUGACUUGA